GCUGGCGUCUUCGGCGUCCGCAUUGUAAUCUCAAGAAGUGUUUUCCGCUUCGGACCAAGCCUAAGUCCCCUGGAAAGGGGCAUCAUAGAGGGUGAUAAUCCCGUACAUGGCUUGGAGCGCCCGAGGCUUUGUGAUACGCUUUCUAAGAGUCGAGUUGUUUGGGAAUGCAGCUCAAAAUGGGUGGUAAAUGCCAUCUAAGGCUAAAUAUUGGGGAGAGACCGAUAGCGAACAAGUACAGUGAUGGAAAGAUGAAAAGAACUUUGAAAAGAGAGUUAAACAGUACGUGAAAUUGCCAAAAGGGAAGGGUAGGAGGUCAGAGAUGCGGCCUGGGAUUCAGCCUUGCUUUUGCUUGGUGUUUUUCCCAGAUUGCAGGCCAACGUCGGUUUUGGGCACUGGAGAAGGGUAGGAGGAACGUGGCACCCCUCGGGGUGUGUUAUAGCCUCCUACUGGAUACAGCGACCGAGACCGAGGACAGCAGCGUACUCGCAAGAGCGGGCCUUCGGGCACCUUUACGCUUAGGGCGUUGGCAUAAUGGCCCUCUACCAC
rnacentral:rRNA from 1 species